AUGAAAAUGGUGCGUUGUCAAGGAAACGGAGCAAAAUCAGAAAACUUUUACCUUCAGUUUCACAAUAUUGGAACUCACCUCCCCUUCACCUUCCUCAUUAUCAUCAUCAUCAUCAUCAUCUUCAUCCUCCUGUCUGACGUCUUCCUCAUCAUCCCCAUUUUCCUCCUCCUCCUCUUCCUCCUCCUGGUUGUACCUUUCCCGCUCAAACUGUCGCGUGGCCUCGUCGCUGGCCUUCUCCAUCACUCUCUUCUGCUGCGGCUCCUUAAGCUCCAGCACCUCCUGCUUCUGGUCUUCUUUCUCCUCUUCAGAAUCUUUCUUCUCCUUGGCUUCAUCAGUGCCGUCCUCUUUCUUACCUUGCACUUCCUGCUCUUGUAUCCAUUUCAUCUUUUUGACCAGCUCGUCCAGCUCCUCCUGCUUCUCCCUCCUCUCCUUCUCUUUUUCUGGUUUCCUCCUGCUGUCCUGCUCCUUCAGCAUGUCAUUCAGCUCCUUCUCCACUUUUUCCUUCUCCAUCAUCAGCUCCGACUCAGCCGUCCUUUGCUUCUCCAAUUCCUCUGUGUCUUCUUCUUUGUUCUUGUCCAGCUCCUUGUUGUCCCUUUCAUCUUUGGCUUUCUUGGUGAUUUCCUCUGCCAGCAGCUCCUCUAGUUCCUUGGCUCUCUCCUCUUCAUCAUCCGUUCCCCUUCCUUCAAUCUGGGGCUCGUCCAUCAUCUUUGUUGUUUCAACCACUGCUGUCUUGUUUUCUUCAGGCUCAACCAUUUCUUUGUCAACGCCGCUCAGACCUCCGUGGUCCUCCUCAGCGUCCUUCUGCUCAAAGCGGCUCUCAUCAUCUGUCAGAUGGUACUGGUACUUCUGUUCCUUUGCUCUCUCUGCAAACCAUGGAUGACAUUCAUCAGAGAGUGACUGCAAUGGUGACUGCAGUUAGAAGGAAUGGAUGCUCACCAUCAGCUGCCAGCUUCUGAAGCUCUCUGAGGAGACCCCGGUGUCUCUGCGCUUCAUCUAGUUCCUCUGCAAGAACAACAAGCAUUUUCACAGGAGGCUUUCUGAGUAAAGGACCCAGUAAAUGUCUAAGAACUGAGAAGAUUCAUUAAAUUAAAAUCAGAUUUUUUAAGGAAUUUCUACAUUUCAAUUUAUCAAUAGGAAGCUGCAAUGUUGUAAGCAUUCAGUCAAAGAGAAUAAGUCAAAACUGUCAAAAAAUAAUACAUUUUAUUUUUUUCGUAAACAGCCACAGAAAAAUAUAAAAUGGAAAAUAAAGUUCUCUGCAGUCUGAUUUCUGAACACUUUUUUUUUCCUUUUCUAAAACUUCAAACAAAACUCUAAAAAUACGAGAUAAAUCUUGUUCUUUGUGAAUCAUCUGAAAAAGUGACAUAAAAUGCAAACAUUGAGAGCCUCAAAGGUUUGAGGUUAAAUGAGAUGUAACCUGCUAGCUGUGGUCCACAGUCAUGAUGGAGGCCAUCUUCAUUCAGAGCCUCCUGGAUCACACACUCCACCUGUUGGAACAAUAACAAACAAAAUUCAACUGAAUGCAGUUUAAGGAUAAUGAUGAUCAUCUCCAAGAGAAACUAAGUUAAGAUUGAUCAUCUUCUCUGAUCCUUCUGACAGUCAUCGUAGGAGGUUGGGAUCUCCUUUGGCUUUUGAAGAACCUUUUUUGAAGAGUUUCUGUGUGAUGUUGUUCUUAAACAUCUUUACUUGGAUAAAUCCUAUGAAGCAUUCUUCUUCAACUCUGGAGACUCCAGAGCAGAGACAGACUUCGGUUAGUUCAGCCUCUGAUGCCCAAACGAGUGGCUGUGUGAUCAUCACGGUCUUCACAGGAGGCCGACAGUAGAUAUGGAACAUCUUGUGCAAUCGCUGAAGGACCUAAACCUCUUCCAGAGGCACAGUCUGUUGUGUUGCUUCUUAAAACCAGAUUGCUGUUGUCUUCAUUCCAGUCUGUAGUUCAGGUGUUUAUCCUCCUCUCAUUCUCCAUAUGCUCCUGCACCUCCUAAAGAUCCACAAUUGUCUGCUUAUGCUCCACCAGGUCUCCUCUUUUCCACCUCUAACACCCUCAACAGCUGUGAAGAUCUGGAGGAUUUAUGAUGAUGACUCCACGACUCCUGCUGAGAGUCUGAGAGGAACUUGGUGACAUGGAAGACAGAGAAUACGGUGCCCUGAGGCCAAACACACUACCCUCCAGUCUCACAUCCUGUUCUGCUUCCGGGUGAGGUGGAGACAUCCACCUGAAGUUUAUAAAAUACACUAAAUCAGAGAUUUGUAACCUUUAAUGCUUAAGGAUCCGUUUGGGUCAGUUUCUUACAGACUAGAACCCACCAAGAACCACAAAGUCUAUCAACCAUAAAGUCUAUCAAAGUCCCACCUUUAAUGUUUUUUAAGCCAUUUAUUUAAAAAAGAUAUAGCUUUUAAAUAGUUACAUUUUCUAUCAUUAUGAAUUUGUUCAUCUCCAUCCUUUUUAAUCCAUUUAUUAUUAAAUAUAAACAAAACUGGUGUAUAAUUCUUUUAAAAAAAACUAUACAUGUAAAUGCAAUUCUAUUCUUUAAGAACUUUGUCUCUGAACAGCAACAAGGCACUGCUGUUCAGCAGAAAAUAAGAACAUAAACUUCAACCUAAUAAACCACUGUGACCAAAGGUGAAAGAAUGAUGAAAAUGUUUUUUUAACAUGUUCUUGUUGCAUUUUUCUCAUGAUGGAGGACAUGUAUAACAACAGGGAGGGGAAGGGGGGUGAGGUUGCUCCACAACAACAGUUUAGCCCACAACUCAGCCGCUCUGCAGAAACUGUCCAAGAAAACGACACAGGCUUUUUAAAAUUAGCCUAAAUAAUCAUAAUUAAAAGACCAACGGGAAGGCUUUUCCAAUAGAUUACAAGAUGAUCAGUGUGGGACUUUCAACCUGCAUCAUCAUUUUGCUCAGCUGUCUGCCAUGUACAAAAUCUAAACAUUAAACGUAAUUAACAAAACUAAAUGAACUAAAACAAAUGCAUCACAACUGCAAAUCCAUUAUUUAUUCACGUUUUUAGCAUGUAUUCUAAAUCCAAAAUAUAUUUGGAUAACAGUGGAUGGAUAGCAAGGAGCUCCUUGAAGUUCCGGAGUUUCAGGUUGCAGGUUUCUGCACUAAACAGAUUAAAAACAAUAAAUGAGAAGAAGAAAAAAGCAGACAUUUUUCUGACCUUGGCAUCGUUGAGAGGUGAGGCUGCAGGUUUGCUUCCAGCUGAGACACAGAAAUGAAGAUGGACAUUAGUCAAGAUUAACUGGUCCUUCUCUCUGACCGUGCAGGAACUCUGACAUCACCCACCCUUUGCAGGAACACCCCCCGUCCUCCAUAUGAUCAGUAUGCAUUCUGCCUAGCCCCUCCAUGUCUGACCAUCUAUUGUCCCUCAAACUGGAGCGUUUCUAUCACAUAUCUGAUAACUGCAGACAAAGAUCAAUGACGACCAUUGAUCGGGCAUUGAGGGGAAGGGAUGCUGGGAAUGGAUUCACGUGCUCCCACGCGUGCGUGGAUCCGUUUGGAUCCGCUGUGUUUGCCGGGUUCUGGCCUUGGUGCUGAGGCUGGGCUGCUGCGCAGGCGCGUUAACGCCUCUAUUGAUUGCAAUAAUUACAGGUAAUUUCCAGCUAUGGUCUGCUCACCUGGGCGGAGCUUUGGUUCCGUUGUUUUUUUUUUUUGUUUGUUUUUUAAAGAACAGCUUGACACAAAAACCGGUCGCGUGAAAUAAAAGCACGAGCGCGGGAACGCAGGUGAAGUGGUUACGUAACCGCGGCGGUUAAGCGCCUUACGCUGAAAUCCUGUCAUCCAUCCGCUCGCGAACAUCUGAGGUCUGCUCCUCUAAAAACAGAUCUGCGCUGCGGCCGCGAACCAGGCGCAGAAAAGCAGGACAAAGCUCACCUCCGCACGCGGCGGCCCACAGGAAAACCGCGGUGAUGAGAAGACCCAUGAGUUCCACAGCAGAGCAGGCUGACUCCUGCAGGAGAUCCUUCUGAUGGAGAGGAGCAGCUCGCACGGCGCAGUGAGGAGGAGCCGAAGAGCGGACUGUCAGUGUGCGCGCCUGCUCGUGCGCGGUGUCAGGUGACCGCUUCUAGAUCAGAGGCUCAGGUGUCCCUCAGUGCAGACAGGUGAUACAGUCCGUCCACUGAGGUUCAACAAAUCUGCCCACGUGACCAGGAUUUAGUCACGUUUGGAUCAAAUAGAACGUCUAUCUUUAAAAUAAACAACACGCAUGUAAACAAACACGCAGGUACAGACACUCACUACAGUUAAU
ensembl:lncRNA